AUGGGGGGAAGGCAGCAGAGGUCAAAGUGCACUGGCUACCUUGCUCUUCCUGUGGCAGAGUCUGGGAGGACACCUGGGAGCCGGCCAGCAAAUUCGCCUGAUGACCAAUACUGUUGUACUAUUUGUUUUGUAUAUAUUUGUCAAUAAUUAAAUUCACUAUUGUUACAUUUUAUGAUUUGUCUGUCAAUCAAUGACUGCACUGAAUAAUUAAUGUGUCAUGACUUUGUGCUGUAUUUGGAAAAGUUAA
ensembl:lncRNA